rnacentral:rRNA from 1 species
ACGGGGGGGGCAAGCGUUGUUCAGAAUUACUGGGCGUAAAGGGCGUGUAGGCGGCCUAGCAAGUCAGCUGUGAAAGCCCCAGGCUCAACCUGGGAAUUGCAUCUGAAACUGCCGGGCUAGAGUUCAGGAGAGGAGGGCGGAACUCCCAGUGUAGCGGUGAAAUGCGUAGAUAUUGGGAGGAACACCGGUGGCGAAGGCGGCUCUCUGGACUGAAACUGACGCUGAGGCGCGAAAGCCAGGGGAGCGAACGGGA